AGGCUUUUUCGGGAUUCGUAUCGGACGUCCUGGCGCUCCUCUUUGCGGAGGUGGUCUCGGGUGGUCGGUUCUUAUCUCCGGCGGUGUUGGGACGACGCAUGAGUGGCAGUCAGGACUGGUUCGCAUUGCAGGCUCUGUGCUUGUCGCAUUGAACUGCUUUGGUCAGUCCGUUUCAUUUUCUCGCCUCGUUGCCGUGAGGGUCGGUCGCGUGUGUUGAGUGGGUUCUUGUGCUGGAUACCGUAUUUUGGUGGUUGGAUUCAAUGUUGUCCACUUAUCGGGUUCCCUUGUUCCUCCUGCGCCUCCUGUGCGUUGGUGGUUAUCGUUCGAGCAUCGUCGCUUUCCGUUCGUGCGGUCGUCCACAUGUGGGCGUAUGCGCCCGUGUCGGAGCGUCGGCGCCGUCCGCUUCCUGGGUACGGAGAUAUCAGUUGUUAUCGCGCAGUCCUGUGUUGGCCGUUGCGAUUUGGACGUGUCGGAGCUAGUUUGCUCUCGCUCUGGUGACCCUCGUUGUUCCCUUGGAGCUCACGGAGCCUCUCCUCUCCGGUUAUCCUCGGGAGGCAUCGAGGUCUACAAUGGAAUGCUACCUGGUUGAUCCUGCCAGUAGU
rnacentral:misc_RNA from 1 species